rnacentral:rRNA from 1 species
AGAGUUUGAUCCUGGCUCAGAACGAACGCUGGCGGCGUGCUUAACACAUGCAAGUCGAGUGCGCGUGCCGUAGCAAUACGGUAUGGCGCACGGCGCACGGGUGCGUAACACGUGGGCAAUCUGCCCUCCGGUGGGGAAUAACCCCGCGAAAGCGGGGCUAAUUCCGCAUAACAUUCCCUGGACUCUGGUUCGGGGAUUCAAAGCAGCAAUGCGCCGGAGGAGGAGCCCGCGCCCGAUUAGCUAGUUGGUGAGGUGACGGCUCACCAAGGCAAUGAUCGGUAGCUGGUCUGAGAGGAUGGCCAGCCACACUGGAACUGAGACACGGUCCAGACUCCUACGGGAGGCAGCAGUGGGGAAUCUUGCGCAAUGGGCGAAAGCCUGACGCAGCGACGCCGCGUGGGGGAUGAAGCUUCUCGGAGUGUAAACCCCUUUCGACCGGGAAGAAUGCCCGCAAGGGAGUGACGGUACCGGUAGAAGAAGCCCCGGCUAACUACGUGCCAGCAGCCGCGGUAAGACGUAGGGGGCCAGCGUUGUUCGGAAUUACUGGGUGUAAAGGGUUCGUAGGCGGUGUGGCAAGUCGGGAGUGAAAUUUCUGGGCUUAACCCAGAAGCUGCUUCCGAAACUGCUGUGCUAGAGUGCGGGAGAGGCGCGUGGAAUUGCAGGUGUAGCGGUGAAAUGCGUAGAUAUCUGCAGGAACACCCGUGGCGAAAGCGGCGCGCUGGACCGUUACUGACGCUGAGGAACGAAAGCUAGGGGAGCAAACAGGAUUAGAUACCCUGGUAGUCCUAGCCCUAAACGAUCAGGACUUGGGGUGCCUUCCGUUCGGAAGUCGUCCCGGAGCUAACGCGUUAAGUCCUGCACCUGGGGAGUACGGUCGCAAGA